UGCUGGAGGUAUCAGAAGUGCGAAUGCUGACAUAAGUAACGAUAAAGCGGGUGAAAAGCCCGCUCGCCGGAAGACCAAGGGUUCCUGUCCAACGUUAAUCGGGGCAGGGUGAGUCGACCCCUAAGGCGAGGCCGAAAGGCGUAGUCGAUGGGAAACGGGUUAAUAUUCCCGUACUUGGUGUUACUGCGAAGGGGGGACGGAGAAGGCUAUGUUGGCCGGGCGACGGUUGUCCCGGUUUAAGCGUGUAGGUGUGUGUUCCAGGUAAAUCCGGUUCACUUUAACACUGAGGCGUGACGACGAGGCACUACGGUGCUGAAGCAACAAAUGCCCUGCUUCCAGGAAAAGCCUCUAAGCAUCAGGUAACAUCAAAUCGUACCCCAAACCGACACAGGUGGU
rnacentral:rRNA from 1 species